GGAUGAGGAAGUUGAGGCCCAGAGCACUGCAAGGACACUGUGAUGGCGACCCAGCUUGGGCAGGGCAAGUAACUCGAAUGGGGCCCAUGGGGCACGUUCUGGUGCCCUCGGCCCCAGAGAGAGCUGGUCCCGGCUGGCACCCAGGUUGUGCCUCCACCCCCGGGCCUCCUCAGGAGCCUCAGCUGUGGGAAGGGUUCUUCUGCUGGGCCCUGAGGGGACAAUGAGGCAGGACCUGCCAGUUGCUGCUUCAACGUUUGGACAUUUGCAUGUGGGCUCUUUGCACCCCUAAAGAUCAGCCGGGUCCCCAGUCCGGCUCAUUGAUCCAGGGCUGGCGCCUCCCCCUGCUCCGUUCUGAGUCCUGGAAAAUUCCAGCUCCCCUGGACAGGACACCCGUCCAUGUCCAUCCUGCCUUCUCAGGCACGUCUUUUUGUGAGGAAGAUUAGCCCUGAGCUAACUACUGCCAAUACUCCUCUUUUUGCUGAGGAAGACUGGCCCUGAGCUCACAUCCGUGCCCAUCUUCCUCUACUUUAUAUGUGGGACGCCUACCACAGCAUGGCUUGCCAAGCGGUGCCAUGUCCGCACCCGGGAUCCGAACCAGUGAACUCUGGGCCACAGAGGAGCGGAACAGGAGAACUUAACCGCUGUGCCACAAGGCCGGCCCCCCCAGGUUUAUCCGAGGCCACCUUGUUCCCACCUGCCGGGUCGAGAGCUGUGCGGUGGGAGGCUGAGGACUGGGCUAUGCCCAGUGUGUGCCCGGUGCCUCCGGCUCCCCCGGGGUACUCCCACCCGGAGACGCCGGCCUCUCGGGGAAACGAAACGCCCACGAGGAGUCAGCCUCUUUGUCCUUCCCGGGUUCGGGCUGCUCUCCUCCGGGGACCUUCCCUCCGUGGGCAGAUGGUUUUCUCCAGGAAGGCGACUCGGGGCCACCACCAAAGACUUUCUGCAACUUUCUGGAAGCUCUUAUCAAGCAGCCACAUCUUUGCGUAUUUGCAGGGACUGUGGGAACCAUUUCCUGGGGAGAACGUGGUUGGAUUCCCAAGACCCGGCGCCCGGAGACCUCGCUCCUCCUGCGGGGCCCUCUGAGCUCCAGCUUGGGCCCUUGAGAGGCCCAGGCUGUCCCCUGACCCACGGAAAACUGGGCUGUGAAAAGUCAGAGAUGAACUCGGGAGGGCCUUCAAAGCAGCUGUCUUCACUCGUCUCACGUUCUGAUAAGGAGCCUGUGUCCCGGAGCGGUUGAGCAGUGCGCUCAAGGUCACUCAGGGAGUCCACCGUGGGACCUGGCUUGAGGCCCAGCAUCCCUGUGAGGGAUGUGAGGGGACUCCAACAGGACUGUCCUGUCCUGUCUAGCUCGGGGCCAUGGCCUGUUGCUUGGCUGGUGGUGGGGCGAGCUGGGAGGGGGUGCUGGGGGCCCCAGCCCCUUCCUUGGUGAUUAUGCAGCUUCCCCGCCCGGCCCCUUUCUGGGCAGACCCGUCGCAGCCCGCGCUGCCCCCCGCGCUGUGGCAGGCGGCAGUGGGCCUCUGAGAUGCUGGCGCGGCCCCUGCGCUAAUAGGGCCGUCUGGGGUGGCCUCGGGGCUCCGAGCUGACUGUGCUGUCUUCCCCGCCCGCCUUUUCUUCUGCACGGCUCCCCGGCCGGCCCUCCCCGCCCCGCCCGCCGGCUGCCGCUGCUGCAAAGCCCGCUGGCCGGCCGGCCGGCCGAGCUAAUUGGGCGGAGAAAGAGCCCGAUUGUCUGCGGCCGGAAGCGCGGGCGUGGGCGCGGGGAGCGCGAGGUGGCCGCUUCGGCCCGCAGCUGCCAGCGCCGGUUGCCGGUUACGUCACCGCGGGCGGGUGGGGAGGGGCGCCCCCAGCCUCCCGACAAUGCGCCCAUUGUCGCCGCGAGUGGCUCAUUCUGGAUGAAUGGCGCAUGGGCCUCUUGACCAAGGAGGCCGCUAGCCGGCCGAUCUGUCCUCUCGAAGGCCACCCCCUGGGCUGGAGCGCCGCCUGCUCGGGGCUGCGGAGGGACGGGGGCCGUCCCUUAGACCCCCGGCUGCACCGAGCUCCCCGCCCGACUGGGGCCCUUGGCCACACGCACAGCAGGCACUCAGCAGAACUGGGCCCGGGGCUGUGGUGGCUCUGUGGGGUCGGCCCCCUUCAGCAUGGCCUCCUGGUUGUGGGGGAGCACGGGCCCCGACCCGCUCGUGGUCCUGCUGGUUGUCAUCCUGCUAACGCGCUUCCUUCUCUGGUCCUGCCUCGGGACCUACAUCGACUACAGGCUGGCCCGGCAGCAGCCUCGCAAACCCAAGGAGGAAUAGAGCCUUGGCUGGCCGGCAGCCUCUGCACAGCAGGCACCCAAUGACCUUCCCCUCUAGAAGGGGUCUGUCCCACAGAUGUCCUGUCCUGAGGCUGAGGGUGGGCUUGGGGAGUGAGCAGGCAGGCAGAUGACCUCUGUGUCCCACCCCCGGAGCUCGACCUGGCGGUCAGUGCAGGGGGACAGAGGCUCAGGGAGGCCAGAGAUGGACCACGCCCCACUCAGGCUGACCAGGGCCAUCCUGGUCACACCCACAUCCCACGUCGGGGGACCGAGUGGCCACUGCCUGUCUGUCCACCAGGUUCUGGGGUCCCCUGUUGGAGUGAGUAAUCCUGGGGGUGGGUCUUACUUUAAGACCGUCUCUGCUUCCAAUUCUUUAUAAAUAUGUUUCCAGGAAGAGGUGGGGGUGAGCCGGAGGGGUUGGGUUGGGGGGCCAUAAGGACCGAUGUGGCUGCAUCACGAGCCAGCCCUGCCACCAAAAGCCACCCCCCCCCCCAGCCUCCUCCUGCCUCCUGCAAGGAUAAGAGUCAGUGCAGACAGCUGCCCUGGUUUUCCCAGAGCAGACCCCCAGGGCAUCUCAAGGCAGACCUGUGACACCCCAGUUCCCGUCGCUCUGGUUGACCACGGGCAAACUCUCUUUGCCCAUCUGUAAAUUGGGUGCAAUAAAUCCUGCCUCCCUCCCUCAGAAGGUUACCAGGAGGGGGCAGACUGGGGGCGGGGGGAGUGGGCAAGCCCCCACAGUCUGCAAACUGCUGGACACAUGGAGGACAAUGUAGGGGAGAAGCCUCUGGACUCAGCGGCCUCUGCUCCUCUGUAUGUCUUUAAGUGUGCGGCCGAGUCACGUCUGAGAAGCCGGGCAGGCAGGCAGGAAGACUUGACUAGAGCCCGAGAAUCCAGCGUCCCCCUGCAGCCCACCCCCGGUCACAUCAGCUGUGUACACACUCGACUUCUGGAGCAGCAUGUGGCCACUCGCUGGUUCUCAACGUGGUGGCAGCUUUGAAUCACCUGGGAGAUUUUAGCAAAUGCCAGUGGCCAAGCUCCACGCCAGAUCGAGAAGCAUCGGCCGAGACCAGACGUUCCUGGCAGGCUGGGGCCUGGUGACACUGUGAAUUCCAAAAGGACUUGGGGGUGUCCGUCUGCGCAGAGUCUUAGGUGGCUGUUGGGGGCCUGGAGUCACCGAUCUGGGCGAAUGGACUCUUGGGGACCCUUAGCUGGGAGUUGCCCACCUGGCAGGGUCCAGGCAGAAAGGACCACAGGGGUGAGCCGGGGACGCGGUUACUGAUGUUUCUGAGAGACCUGAUCCACUCACCUGUGUCAAGAAGACCUUGUUUUGCUCCUGGCUGUGCUCAAGAGGAGUACAGGGACUGGGGAGCCGGCCAGCCGAAAAGUGACCUUCUCAGGGUGACACUGACCAACCAGCUAGAGUUUCAAUGGUAGGGGUGUCUGAGAGACGAUUUGAAGAUGCUCUAGAUGAGGGUCACUUCUUCCUCUUCUUCUUCUUCUUUUUUUUUUUUGCUGAGGAAGAUUAGCCCUAACCUAACCUAACAUCUGUUGUCAAUCUUCCUCUUUUCGCUUGAGGAAGAUUCGCCCUGAACUAACGUCUGUGCCAAUCUUCCUCUAUUUUAUGUGCAUGGCUGCUGACAAGUGGUGUAGGUCUGCGUCCGGGAACCGAACCUGGGCUGCUGAAGCAGAACACAUCGAACUUAACCACUAGGCCACAGAGCCGGCCCCGAUGAGGGUCCCUUCUUUUCGAUGAGUCUGGAGAGUCCGCACAGGGGUGGGGUUACCAUGCACUGGUCGAUUCAUCCAGGGCUUGUGGGUGGCUGUCCUCUGGGUGGUUGUCCUAGCCAGUGGCCCAGCAGAAAUCGUGUCCCCCCCGUGUCAAGGACAAUUGGCUACAAGGUGGCUGAGGGCGUAUCUGAUCGUAGGGUUCGAGGAGGGGGUGUCCUCAUUGCUCUUUAAGGACAACGUUGUCCAAUUUUCUUUAAAGUGAUCGCACGUGGUUUCGUUGAUCUCUCUCAGGAAGAGGAAGUGUGUUCGUUGUCAUGAGCCGGUACCGAUGGAGGGAGGGCGGCUGACCAUUCUGGCUUUCCUGGGACCGCCCUGCUCUUAAAACCGAAAGUCCCACAGCCUGGGAAAUGCCUCUAUCCUGGGCAAAUCGGGCCUCCCCAGUGGAGGGAAAAGUCACAAGUUCACAUGACAUGCUGGUCUCGCCAGUCGCUGACCGUCUAACCUGCGUGUCGCCUGCAUGUCCCAGUGGCCGGGUUCACCAUUGGGUCCAGCGAGCCAGAAUCCUGAGGCUGUCGCUCUUUUUUUUCUUAAGUCAGUUUACAGUGUUUUCUGUUACUUGCAACUGACAAAAUUCUGACAGGUGACAAGCACAGGCCCUCUGCAUCCCUGUGUCAAACAGCUACAGCCUCAUGGCACAGUGCCUGGCUCAGAACAGGCACUCCAGCCGUGGCAGCUCAGCGAACGAGAGGACGUGCCCUGGCUCUGUGUUGGGCAGCAAUUGCAGUCAGCUGCAAGUAACAGGCAAGUAGAUAAAUAGUGACUAAAACGAAAGAGGCUUUUAUUUUUUUCAUUUUUAAUGUAGAAAGAAGUCUGGCCUUUGGCAUUUCCAGGCUGUGGUAUGGCAGCUCCAUGAUAUUAGUAAGGACUUAGACUCUUCUAUGUUUCUGCUCUGCCAUCCACAGCAUGUGUGUAACUUUUGUAUUCAUGGCUACAAUAAGGUUGCUGCGACUCCAAACAUCUUGAGUGAGUUCCAGGUGGGAAGAGAAAGGAAUGGGUGAUAUAUCAAGGAAGCAAAGCUUCCUUAGUUUCACAUCACAUAAACCAGAACUAUGUCACAUGGUAUCCUUAGAUGCAGAGGGGGCUGCGAAAGGGCAUUAGCUGGGCUUGUUGCCACCCUAAAUAAUGUCAGGUUUCUAUCAUAAAGGAAGGCAAAAUGGAUGUUGGGUAGGCAACUGGUGGUCCCUGCCACUGGCCUCUUGGCCAUUCCUUGUAAUUGUGAUAUUUAUCUUGGACACUAUUUGGGGGUAUUUGGGUGUAUUUUAUGGCACCCUUGUGUGCUAGCUUUGCCCUCAUCUGCCCCUGAGGAAGAGCAGCUGUGCUCAGCUGUCCUUGGCAGCUCCAGCCUGGAGUUGGAGCGUGGAGCUGCCCAUAGCUUCUUGGGGCUCCUUGUUCCCAGGGGGAAGUCGAAGGCUGAAACAGACACGUUCCUUCUUAGGGAUGCAUGGAGACGCUCCUUGACUCGCAGUGUGAUGACAGGCACAGACUGUAGCUCGUGGGAGGUGGACGAUGCAUAGCUGCUGGAGAAGUGAAUAAGACGUUGGGCAGCAGACGGAUGAGCGGAGGGGCAGAUGGAGUCAUUAACUCAGCCAGCAUCCCUGAGCACUCACAACGGGGGAGGCACCAUGGAUACACUGUGGAAUAACAAAGUGCCUGCCCUCAGGCGGCUUGCUGUCUGGGAGGUAAGAAGCAGGCAGAGAGACCUGGAAACAAAUCUUAGACCUGCACUAGGCACGCAUGGCUAUUAAGCACUAAAAAAGCGAUCAGUGCAAAUUGAGAUAUGCUGUAAGUGUAAAAUACAUGCCAGAUUUUGAAGCCUAGGUACAGGAAAAUAAUGCAAAAUCUCGUUAAUAAUGGUUUUAUAUUGAUCGUGCAUUGAAAUGACAACAUUUUGGAGACAUUGGGUUAAAUAAGAUAUUAAAAUGAAUUUCACCUGUUUCUUUUAAAGUGUUUUAAUGUUGCUACUAAAAAAUUUGAAAGCACGCAAGUGGCUCACAUUAUUUCUAUGUUGCACAGCACUGCACUAGGCCUUCAUAAUAUUGUGAAAGUGCUGUCGUGAGUGAGUGCACCAGGAGUGAUAGGAACACAGAGAGGGGCUUCCUGGAGGAGGGGUCUUAAGUGGCAAUGUAGAUAAGUGCUCACCAGAACCUAGGAGAUGCAGCCAAAGCAAUUCUUGAAGGAAAAGUCAUAGCCUUGAAAACUGAUGUUAAUAAACAGGAAAGAAUGAAAAUUGAUGAAUUAAGUGUAUGGUUCAAAUUUGAAAAAGAACAAUUGAACAAAGCUAGGAAACACAAAAGGCAGAAAUAAAGAUGAGAAGAAAUUAGUGUAUUAACAAGAGAUAGAAUUAACAAAUGCAUCAAAGCCCUGGAUUUCUUUUUUUUUUUUUUUUAAAAAUAACAUUUCUUCUGCACUCCUUUUCUUCUUCUUUUUCCUUUUUUACUGGGUUCAAGUACACGUGAUGCAAACUUUACCAUCGUAACCAUUUUUAACUGUACAGUUCUGUGGUAUUUUGAGGGGAAAAGAAGCCCCUAACAAUAAAAGGGACACGAUUAACCAUCCCAAUCAAGAAAAAAGGAGAAGAAACCAUAUACAAAAUUAAAAUCCUGUGGGGAAACCAACUACGGAGACACAGAAAGGUCAAAUUCUCAGAAAAUGGGUUCUGGUGGUUGUAAAGGAUUUUGAGAAUUUGAAAACAUAGAAAACAUAAUUUCUAAAAAAUUAUUCCAAAAGAGAUGCAAAAUCUACACAAAUGGAUUACCCUAGGAUAAAUAGGAAGUUGUGCAAGUAUACUACCCUUUCAAAAAAGAAGGCAUAAAGGUCCAGAAUGUUUCAAAGGAGGUCCCCUGCCGCGUCACGUAGGUCAAGACGAUUAAACACUACUGAAACUGCUCGAGCACGUAAAAGAAGAGAAAUUCCCAGUUCCCUUUAUGUAGCAAGCAAACAUCGACACCCAAAUCCACCAAGGGUAUCUCGGAAAGAGAAAAAGGCAUACCAGUGUUGCUUAGGAAUGUUGAUGCAAAAAUAGGGAACCAGGAAACUCAGCGGUGUGUUAGAGGGAUAAAACGUGACGAUCAAGUGGAGUGGGCUCCAGAAAUGCAAGGAUGGCUGAAUGUUAGAAAACCUCUUAACGCAAUUGCAAGUGAUCAUAGAGUUCAAUGAAGCAGAUGGGUCCAAAUCGAUCUGUGGAAACCACACACACGGCGAUCUAUGAUGGCAUCAGAGACCCCAUUUAUGAGAGCCACAUAAAGAACCAUUAGGAGCAAAUUUAAUGGGACCUGUGGUUACCCACUGUGGGUGGUCGGGUUACUUCCUUUUGUCUGUUUUCUGAUCACCUUGGGUUCUGUAGAUGAGCUCUAUUGUGGGCAUGAAAUCCUGGCCGUGUGGGAGCUGGUGGAGAAGGGGCCGGGGCAGAGGAGGGUCAAACCCGACCCUCAAGGACAAACCCCCCCAUGUCGGUCUCUCUCGCUUCCUACCUUGAUGCCCGAUGCCCUGCAGGAGAAGCUGGCGCCUUUGCCACGUAGCUGCAUGACCUGGGGCUCAGAGAAGCCGGGGACCACCACGGAGCCUGAUGCUCACGGCUCCUCCAGAGCUGCCUGUGGGCCGUGUGCUCUGGGAAAUGUUGCUGCAGCCUAGCCCAAACCCCACAGGACACAGCCACCCCGUUUUGGGGGAAGGGUGAAGGGGUGCUUCUAUGUAGGGUGGCUAAUUGUUUUGGGGCUCAGGGAUCUGCUUGGGACUAGGGGGGUUCUUCCCUGGGACGCAGGAUUUUCAGUGCUAAAAUCAGGCAGGUCCUGGGCAAGCUGGGGUGGGGGGUCAUCCUAUUUAUACGACCUGGGUCGUAGAGAAUUAACCUACCCUAAGAAAGCUCUUGUCUCUGCCCUUGGCUCCUGGGAGGGGAUCUCUAGGUCCUGGAAUGUCCUGCCUUAUAAAAGUGUCCUUGUUUACCUGGGAACUUGGGUCACAUCAGACAGUCUAACGAUGUGACUUGUGAUGGGGGCUUUGGGACAUAUGGUGUCUGCUCUACCUCGGGAAGCACUGGGGACCGAUGGCCAGACACGUGGACAGUCAGCCGUGUCUAGGAGAUGGAGCCUGAUGAAAACUCCACCUGCCGGGGCUCGGGGGGCCCCCCAGGUUGGUGAUACUCCUAGUGUGUUGCCAGGAGGAGCUGACAUCGCCCGUGACCCCCUGGGAGAGGAUGACCAGAGCUCCAUGCGUGGAACUUCCCCAGACUCUGCCCGUGCGUCUCUGCCCUUGGCUGAUUUCCACCUGUAUCCUUGUAAUAAACUGUAAAUGUGAGUUUAACAGCUUUCGGUGAGUUUCGAGCUCUUCUAACGAAUGAUUGAAACCGGGGGUGAACUGGGGGACCCCCGAACUUACAACUGGCGUCAGAACGGAGGGUGGUCUUCCAGACCCUUCCUGAAUUUUUCUCCUUCCUCUCCUCCCCUUCCUCCUUGAAAACCACAGAAGUGCAUCCCGUGAAAAGUGAGUCUGGCCCCGCAGUCAUCUAAAACUCCCCCCCGCCCCAGUGCAGCCUGUGGUACCAGCCUCUCCUCUCUCAUCUGGAGAAAUUUUUUUUUUUUUGAGGGAGAUUAGCCCUGAGCUAACUGCCACCAAUCCUCCUCUUUUUUUUUUGCUGAGGAAGACUGGCCCUGAGCUAACAUCGUGCCCAUCUUCCUCUACUUUAUAUGUGGGACGCCUGCCACAGCAUGGUGUGCCAAGCGGUGCCAUGUCCGCAUCCGGGAUCUGAACUGGCGAACCCCGGGCUGCCGAAGUGGAACAUGCGCACUUAACUGCUGCGCCACCAGCCCAGCCCUGCAUGUGGAGCUAUUUUGAGCACUUUCAAGCACAUACAAACGUCUUCUCCCACCGUCCUCUCUUUCCCCGUAGUCGGUAGCAUGUCCCUCAUCCUCUUCUUACUGCUCCAUAUCGGUUUUCACAGAUUUUCUCUUCUUUCUAUGAAAAGCAUGCAUUCUUAAAGAAAGAAAUAAGGGAACAAGUGAAAAGUGUCACAAGCGAGGCCCCUCGAGAUGAGGGUCUGAGGGGCUUAGGCAGCGACGGUUUCCUUGCGCUCUGAGUUGUGCAGGGAACCAAGUUCUUAUCUGCAAGACGGGGACCGGUCACCCAUCUUCUGCAAGGUCCCUGGAGCAGGGCCUGUGCACAAGGCCAGGCUGCAGGAAGGCCCGGAAGCUUCCCCGGGGGUGCGUGUUGUCGGCUGAUACACAGAUGGGACUUUUCUGCUUGUCCCAAGAAUGUGGAAGGAGCCACAAAGCUGAGAAGGACAAGUGGUGAGAGCCUUGCAUUUUGAGAGGUGCGACACCCCGGGAUCCUGUCUGACGGAAAGAGCAGAGCUGUCCCCAGCAGUCAACCCCGCCAGCCACCUCCAGCCUGGAUGGAUGGGGGCCUGAGUGUGGGUCGAGGCAUUGUCUCCAUCGUCCUCUUGGUAAGAGCAUCUCCUGAAGCUCAGCUGAGCACUGGGCCGUCCAGCUAGAGGCCAUUCCCAGCUCUCUUUGUGGUAGGAGUGGACACGGCAUCGAGUUGCGGUCAAUGGGAUGUGAGAGGAAGGGACGCGCGCAACCUCUGGCCACAGCCUUGAAAAGGCAGCCGUUCCCGGCGCUCUCUCCUUCUCUCUCUGGGGCUGGACCACCAGCCAGUGGGAACGAUGGAGAUGAGGCGGACGCCCUUGGACGGGGAGGAACAACGCGAUAGGAGGAACCAGCUCCUUCCGCAGCCUCAGGGCGUGGAGCUCCUCAGCCACCCUGGUCCACCCGCAAACUGCAGGCGGUCAUGAAAGAGACAGAGUAAUCGAAGGGAAGGAGGCGGGCAGAAUCUUCGAAAUUUCAAAACCCCUCUUCUUAUGUCACCAUCGAAACCAAGACUCCGAUAGUCAAAAUCGUGAAAGAAAUUGUCCUAACUCACCAAGAAUACACAAAUCUCCAAUUACGCACGACAGAGCGAGAUUCCGUUCCCUUUCCAGUCUCUUUAUAGAAAAAUAACACAAGGACAAAAGUAUCGUCAUGUUAAGAGAGUCCUUUCUCUGCGCGGAGGGGGAACAGAGGAGGAGGAGGCACGGGGAGCACCGGCCGCGGGAGCAUCUGGAACAGCAGGGACCAGAGAGCGCCGGUCCUCGUGGCCCGUCUUGUGGCAAGGGGCCACCGGGAACGUUGUCUUUGUGUCCCUUCUCGGCCCGCCAUCCCGGUCGAGAGGAGGGACCUGCUUUCGGGCUU
ensembl:lncRNA